GACGAACGCUGGCGGCGUGCCUAAUACAUGCAAGUAGAACGCAGUUGCGAACGGGUGAGUAACGCGUAGGUAACUGCCUCAUAGCGGGGGCUAACUACUGGAAACGAUAGCUAAUACCGCAUACUGUGAGAUGGACCUGCGUUGUAUUAGCUAGUUGGUGAGGUAAAGGCUACCCAAGGCGAGGAGACAUAGCCGACCUGAGCGGCUUGUCGGCCACACUGGGACUGGGACCCGGCCCAGACUCCUACGGGGGGCAGAGGUAGGGAAUCUUCGGCAAUGGACGGAAGUCUGACCGAGCGACGCCGCGUGAGUGAGGAAGGUUUUCGGUUCGUAAAGCUCUGUUGUUAGAGAAGCGGUAACUAACGAGAAAGGGACGGCUAACUACGUGCCAGCAGCCGCGGUAAUUG
rnacentral:rRNA from 1 species